AGACAUAGUGCCAUGUACCUAUAGUCCAAGCUACUUAGGAGGCUGAGGCGGAAGGAUCGCUUGCACCCAGGAGUUUGAGGCUGCAAUGAGCUAUGAUCACACCACUGUUCUUUCCAGCCUGGGCAACAGAGUGAGAUUCCAUGUCUACAAAAAAAUUAAAAAUUAGCCGGACGUGGUGUCAUGUGCCUGUAGUCCCAGCUACUCUCAGGAGGCUGAGCUGGGACUGCAGGUUCACACUACCAUGUCUGGCUAAUUUUUCUUUUGUUUUGUUUUGAGACAGUCUUGUUCUCUGUCACCCAGGCUGGAGUGCAGUGGCAUGAUCUGGGCUCACUGAAACCUCCUUCACCUGGGUUCAAGUGAUUCUCCUGCCUCAGCCUCCACAGUAGCAGGGAUUACAGGCAUGCACCACCAUGGCUGGCUAAUUUUUGUAUUUUGUAUAGAGACGGGUUUUCACCAUGUUGGCCAGGUUGGUCUCAAACUCCUGACCUCAGGUGAUCCUCCUGCUUCUGCCUCCCAAAAUGCUGGGAUUCCAAGUGUGAGCCACCACGCCUGGCCUUAACCACCAUGCCCGGCCUUAAUUUUUGUAUUUAUGUUUUGUAGAGAUGGGGUGUUGCUAUGUUGCCCAGGCUGGACUUGAACUCUUGGUCUCAAGCAAUCCUCCCACCUCGGCCUCCCAAAGCACUAGGAUUAGAGGUGUGAGCCAUCUGCACCUGGCCUAACCAUUGCUUUUUAUGUAAGGGGAAACUGAGGCCCAGAGAGUGUGAGUGAUCUGUCUUGGGUCACUCAGCCCCAGGGUUGGGGCUCAUAGCUGUUCUGAAAAGGUUCUGGAGAGGCCAGGGCUUAUCUCACAGAGGUUGGCAGCCUGUCUGCCCCAUCCCCUGCCUGCCUCUCCCAGCCUGGUAGCUUCAAGAUCAUUUGAGCAUUUCCUCCACAGCAGGAGCCGGAUGCAUCUGCUCCACCUAAUAACCCCAUUAGGGCCAUUUGCGCCUCUCAGGGGCAGGCGCCUGGGAACCCAGCCAGCGCCCUCCUCCCUGACCUCUUGCCCCAGAGGGCAGGGCCCCUCCACAUGGCACAGGGUGUCUUCCGGUCUCCUCUCCAUCCCUCACCCUCCCCUACCUGCCCAUCAGCAACACAUUGCUCCUCCUGCCUGGCACCCUUCCAAGGUCCACCUGGCCCAAGUGUCCUGCUCCUUCUUCAAAGCCACCCCUCCCCAAGAUGCUGCCUCUGAAGCUCCAACAGUCCAUCUCCCUGACAGUUGUGUCCUCUCCUUCUCUCGUAUGUGGUAGUAUCACUGUCUUCCCCCUAAAGCAGUGGGCACCUUGAGGGCAGAACCUUGCCGCGGGCAUCUCUGGCCCCUGGGGUCCGAGCACUGAGCGGGAAUCCUGAUGAUAAGUGUUGCAUGAGCUGGGCACAGUGGCUCACGCCUGUAAUCCCAGCAGGAGGAUCACUUGAGACCAGGAGUUCGAGACCAGCCUGAGCAACAUAGUGAGACCCCGUCUCUAAAGAAAUUUAAAAAAUUAGCCAGACAUAGUGCCAUGUACCUAUAGUCCAAGCUACUUAGGAGGCUGAGGCGGAAGGAUCGCUUGCACCCAGGAGUUUGAGGCUGCAAUGAGCUAUGAUCACACCACUGUUCUUUCCAGCCUGGGCAACAGAGUGAGAUUCCAUGUCUACAAAAAAAUUAAAAAUUAGCCGGACGUGGUGUCAUGUGCCUGUAGUCCCAGCUACUCUCAGGAGGCUGAGGUGGGAGGAUCACCGGAGCCCAGGAAUUAGAGACUGCAGUGAGCUAUGAUGGUGCCACUGCACUCCAGCCUGGGCUAUAAG
rnacentral:lncRNA from 1 species